rnacentral:misc_RNA from 1 species
CAGUGUUCCCUGCCCUCACGGGUAGAAACGCCACCCUUGUGUAUAUUAUCAUGUUGCUUUGGUGGGCCGCCGUUAGGCACCGGCUUCGGCUGGCUCGCGCUCGCCAGAGAACCCCAAACUCUAAAUGUUAGUGUUGUCUGAGUACUAUCUAAUAGUUA